ncrna:unclassified sequences malK-III RNA
CCAGCACUCGUCACGUACGGGGUCCGUCCACGCUCCACCUCGGUGGGCUGGAUGCAAGGAUCCGCGAUGACGGUCGGGCGAGGAGUAGGCGCAUG